rnacentral:lncRNA from 1 species
AGCUUUCAAGUUCUCUUUAUUAAAAAUCUUUUUUUGUUUUUCCUUUUGUAAAAACAAACGCUUGAGGUCAAUUAUACAGAUCAGGAAAAGUGACGAUUAAUAGGACACACUCAACAAAUUCCAACACUUUACAAGUUCAAACUUAAAUCAACUAAUGGUUUUCUUUUUCUCACAAGCUCAAUAAUCAAACUCUGGUCCAGUUCAAGUAUAAUCUAACAGAUCACAGCCUCAGACUGUCAAGAGAAACCUUGAUACUAACGGCUGCUGCUCACACCAACACCAAGUUUACCGAAUUCUUCGGGAAUACGAUGUGAAUAUACUUUAUUUCAGGUGUUUACAAUAAAAAGUACACAGGCCUUUUGUUCUAUUAACGCAGGGUAUGAGUAAAUGUGCUGCGCAAGGUAGCAGCUGCUGUUGAACAACUUUUCCAGGGAGACAUUUUGAAAUGGUUAACAAACACUGAAGAAAAGCUUUAAAAAAAAAAAUCAAUAUUUUCCUGGUUGCUUUUAAUACUGCAUUGUGUAUGACACACGUAGGAAUAAAAAGUGCAAAUUAUAGAGUGGGUGAAACUAUGCCAAUGGAAUUGCCAUGGAAACACUGCUUGGUAGGGGGGUGGUGAGCUGGUGGGGUCAGCUUCCACUAUGCUGGGAGAAAAGGCUGCCAGCUUCUCUAAAAAUGCAGUUUUAGGCUUUAGGCUUUUCCCAGCGAGGUUCAGAGAGUUGGCCCUGACUUCCCACCAGUGGGAAGAAAGACACACAGAGUUUCUGAGAAAUGGAGGAGGCCGGUUUCUAGAACACCAGGUAAAAACCAGAGAAGG